UUUUUCAAGUGGCAGCCAGUCAGAUUAAAGACUCAGCAUGAACAUUUAACAGCAGUUAGGACAUGGUCAACUCACAACAACUUUCAGCCGUCUACACAAACUGAACAUCGGUGCUCAGUUCUGUAUCGGUUCUAUGUAGGUAGCCCUCAGAUCUGCUAAGCAAAAAGGUAAAAGUGAUGCAACAGCAAAAUGUCCACUAGAUGCCAGGCUUCCUUUGCAGAGCAGAGCAGCUGCACAGCUUUGCAAAGCUUUACACAAAUAGCCUCUCUCUCCGAUGUAGUGGACACAAGCUGUAGUGUUUAGCACCAAAUCCUACUACCUUUUGGGUUCAGUGACAAACCCUCUGGAUUUAUCCCUGCUAUCUCCCAGAAGUUUUCAAGAAGGGCAAAAGACAUUUCAGAAGAACUAAAUAUAGGAGCUGUUGGUAAGAAGAACUGGGUUUUUCUACGUCCCUUAUUUCUGUAUCAGUAGAAAGCUCCCAGAGAAGAGACCGGAAUGAGUUGUGUAGCUGACACACUCGAUCAGCAAACAAACCUAGUUGAACAGUAGCAUGGAUGAUUGCUGACCCUGCCUCCUGUACUCCCAGUGCCACCAUCAACAGGUUUCCUCCAGCCCCCGACUGUCCCUGUCACCCGGUGCCAGAUGGGAAGUGAGAGCUCAGCCGAUCCACCUCUUUGUGGUGGAAACCCCCCGAGCUUCGGCUACAGGUUACUGAAGCCUUCAUGAAAAAUUCAGAACUGUUUAGAAGACUGAAAAAUGACAAACCUUCCUGGAAAAUAGAGCCAAAAUCAUGCCUAAACCUCCCACCUGUAGUGGAUGCGCAGAUACCGAACAAAGAACUGGGUGUGUAGGAUAUGACAUCCCAGCAAGCCACACUGGAUUUUUCCUCCCUUGUGGCCUGAUGGACCCCACCUUCAGCAGCAGCCCCAAUAGAUGACCCAGGAACAAUUUCCCUCACAGCUAAGUUGUACCUUCAAGGAGCCUGUUUCAUCAUGUCAUUAUGCACAAGUGAGAUACAACAUCAUUUACAGCAUUUACUUUCUUCUGGAGAAACAGACCUCUGCCCUUUCUAAACAGCAGUAAGAUUAAGGAAUAGUUACCUGCCAGUAUUACAUUUGCUUCGAGAACAUAGAUGAGACCUUUCAGCUGAAAGGGUAGCUUGGGCAGAUUUUAUGUUAUUUCUACCCUUAUGUCUCUUGCUGUCAAUUUCUUUUUGCUGAAAAAUCUUUAACACAAGCAUUUUUUGCAUGGAUACUGAUUGAAAGCCAUUGACAGGAAGACUGAUAUGUACACAAGCCACUAAGAGCAGCACAUAAGUGGUCUCAGACAUGCUAACAGCAUAAAACCACAAAGGACAGAAGCUCAUAUGACCACAUUCCCCCCCUCCCCCCCAUUAGUACGUCCUCCUCUUGCCAAACUCCAAGAAAUCCAAAAUUUCUAGCAGCCAUUUCCCCCAGAUUAGGCCUUUUGUUUACAUUUCGCAAAACUUUGGCUUUAUGAGUCAUGUCCAACUCUGUCGUCAAACACAGGUGCAAUUACCUUAAUGAAAGCCAUUAAUAAUUCACUGUUAUUUUAUUUUACAGUAUAAGAAGGCUUGUGACAGUUAUGAAUAACAUUCAGCAUUAUUUGCUAAGGAUUUUUUCCUUAUUUGCCCUUAUCUCUAUUAUCGUACAACCUAAUCCUCUGCCUACCUAGUCUGACUGCUUUUGCACUCCCUCAUUGUUUACCAAAUGAAUAAUUAAUGGCUGAUAACCUGCAGCCAAAUCCCUCCCAGACCAUCUCCUGCCUUGUCUAUGCCAUUUUCUAGUUUAUUUCAGCAGCUUGGUUUACAGGCCUCAAUAUCACUUACAUCUUUGAAAGAAAGAAAUGGGAGCAAAUAAAAGUGUAAUAAGGUCAAAGGUCACAUUAAUGUGAGCUAUAAUAUUUAUCUAUUUGCAGAUCUUUUUAGCAUUUGUUACAUAACAAAAUCUACUACAUCCAACCUUGUCUUCAUGAAUACAAAAGCCCACAUAGAACAACCACAACAGCAAAAAAAAAAAAAUCACUGCAGAUGCCAUUACCAGUUUCCAAAACAUCACUUGUUUCCCAGCACUAAUCUACACUGUCUUCUCUCAGCACAUCUUUCUACCUUUCAUAAGCCCCACUUAAUUCUGCAUCUCUCACAGCUCCACAGAACUUUCAUGUCCCCUUACCACUUAUAUUACCAGAUUUUGUCAAUCAGUGCACAAACACCAAAGAUGAGCUCUGUCCCAAACCACAGUGAACAGCAGACAAAAACCCACUCAGCAGAGCCAUCACAUGAGCACACACAGCCUUCUAUGCGGGGAUGAUCUUCUGCUUCCAGGCUCCACAACAAGAACUGGGUCUGAUGAUUUUUACUUUUUGUGCAGACUUCUAAAGUCUGCUUUUCAAUUUAAUAUUCAAGCUCAGCAUCUAAACUAAGAUCUAGCCCUCUUCUUGCUUUCAUUACUUCAUACUUGUAGCAUUUUUGUUCAAGUUGCUGGUGGGAAUCAGAGCCCAAAGCACUGACAGCUUCUCCCAAAUGUAUUCCUCUACAUCUGCAUAAGGAAGCUCAGGUUGCUCAGAUUGUAACAAACAAUGAACAACAUGAAUGCUAUCUGGGGUAAAUAGGCCAUUAAAUUCAAACAUUAGGCAUUCCGUUUUAUUUUUCGAAGCCACAGUUAGAGAGUUACCAGAGCUUCGGCUGCAGUAAUAAGCAGGAGUGUUCAAGUAUUGUACUAGGGUUGAAUGCACAUCAGCCUAGUUUAAACAUGCUGAAGAGGGCUUUUGCAUACAGGUUAAUGUUGAUGAACUUCAUAUUGUUCACAUAAUACCCACGCAGUUGAAAUUUUAUGAUCCACAACCACAAAAAACGGGGUUUUGGUUUUGUUGAUGGUUUGAGAUGUUAGAGAAACACUUUUGCAUUUAUCCCACUGAUUGAUAUCACAAACACAGCUACGAAUCCUUUUCAAGUUGUUAAAUAAACAUAUCUAUAAUUAAAUGCAUCACCUACUGUAAUCUUACUGAUAGAGUACAUGAUGAUGAAAGAAAGAAAUGAAAUAGAAAAUGUGAAGCUAAAAUGGCAUUGUUAUGUAAAAUGUUUAAAAUAAAAGUAAUUUAGAUUAGAUGUUUUUCAAAAGAAAUCCAAAUUCAUGCUUCAUGACAAAUAACAAACUUCUUCAAAGAAGUUCUCUCAGUCAGAAUUAAUUUGGAGUCUGAUUCCUUGCAAUGCCAAAUACCUUAAAGGCUCAGAGUCUUGAGUAUUAGUAACACCUUCACCAACAUGAACUAGUUGCAAAGUGUCUACAUUCAAGAGAAAGAAAUUGGUCAAACUGGCUGGGAAAAAAAAAUAAUCAAUAUUUAAAAACUUAAUUUGGUUCCAGUGCAUGCUCAUUUGAUAUUCAGAAAGAGACAUGGUUUCAGACAAGCCACCUCAGAAGUGCUCUCAGUGAAGAACAUUUUCCUAACACCCAACCUGACCCACCCAUGCAGCUCCAUGCUAUUCCCUCAGGUCCUGUCACUGUCACCAGAGAGCAGAGCUCAGCACUGCCACUCCACUCCCUGCAAGUAGGCCUCCAUGAGGCCUCUCCACAGCCUCCCCUGCUCUGCGCUGAACAAACCCAGGGACCUCAGCUGCUCCUCACAUGUCUUGCCCUCUAGACCCUUCACAAUCUUCACAGCCUCCUCUUUUGGAUGCUUUCUAACAGUUUUAUGUCUUCCUUAUGUUGGGAAGCCCAAACCUGCACACAGUGCUUGUGGUGAGGCUGCAUCAUGACAGAGCAGAGCAGGACAGUCCCUUCCCUUGACAGGCUAACAAUGCUGUGCUGUUGUUUAAUUAGAAAAUUAUGGCAAGUUUAAUUAUGGAAAGUUCAGAAUUCAACAGCAGUAUACUUGAGAUAGUUCCAGGACAGAAGGGAUGAAGACAAGAAGAGGGGCCAGUGGGAUGUGAGCAGUUGGCACCAGUUUCUGGAUACCAUCAUUCUCAGGCCUAAGCCUGGCAACUCAACAAAUUUCUGUCAACAUAACAUCUCUAGUAUUUCACCAGGAGACAACAUCUAAUUUCCAGUAAUUUUGGCUACUGGAGUCUAGGUUGCUGUGGUUGGAUGUUCAACUUUGUGUCAGGAGCUUUAGGUCCAUUCCUGUCAGUAUCACAGAGACAAGCAGCUGGGUUAGGUCCUUCACACCUAAAAAGGAAAUGUCAACUCAGUACAAUUCAGCAGGCCUCUUAGGCUUAUUUCAUCUAAGCACAUACAGGCAACCAUAGUUUUUGAAUGACAGGUGCUGUGAAAUAUUUUAAAAAAAUAAAUUUAAAGAGAAUAGAAUAGGGCUUUAAUUUGAAGAAAGGAAUGGGAAGAAAGUUGAAAGCCUCUUGCCAUCGUGGAUGAAAUAAGCUUAUGAAAGAUGACAUAGAUGUAUGGCAGAUAAAGAGAAGAGCCUGAAUGUUUUUUUUUGUUUGUUUGUUUUUAAGGAAGAUAUAGGGAAACGUGAAAAUCUAAGAUGCAGCAAGAGGACAUGGCUGGCAUGAGGUUACCAUGAAAUAACUGAAUGAAAUAAAGGGAUAAGACCAGAAGCUUCUAGAGGGACUUCAGAAUACACAUUAGCAUCUGGAGUUUGGACUAGCCCUAAGAGAAAAUGAAAGAGACAGACUCAGACUUGGAGGAAAUAGAAAGAAGUAAUGUUAGUAUCAUGACCAUGUAUUAAAUCAAAACAGUCAUAUCUUACCUACAUUAAAAAAAAGCAUUUUUGUAGGGAAUUCUUCUAUUAAGAAAAUGCAGGAAAUGCAAUUGCUUAGCUUGCCAGUUAAAUCCAGCAUCUAAACAUUUCUAUUUUCAUUAAAAACAAAUUAAGUUGUUCUGAGAAAUUUAAUACUCAAACUCUCUAAAGAGAUCUUUGUAAGAGGAUUUCUAAGGACCCAGCUGUUAAAGACUUUCCACUAGCAAGAUCAGAAAUGUGCAAAGACAUCUUUGAAAAAAUUAUAUCCCCCUGUAGGCUAUUCAGGGCUUCUUUAUUUUUAAUUCAUGCUGUUACCAAAAUAUCUGAGAAAUAAAAGUAACGUAUCAGAAACUCAUUAACUCUUCCUCCCCUCUAUUCUGUUACACAUGCAGUACACAAAACUUUAGAAGGAAAUUCUUUCUUUGUGUUUUAUUUCAGCCAUAAAACACGUUAUAGUACUAUUGAAUACUGCAAGAUACAUUAUGCUCCUAUGGCCUCAUGCCCUGUGGCCAAGACACGUGGAUGAGGCAGCUGAGUGUACGCCCUGUCGUGUGUACUCACUUUUUAUUGUCCAUUCAAAAAACAUCAGUUUGAAAAGGAACAGAACUGAUGCCAAGAGUACUCCAACCUGGACAAAACCUGAGACAGCCGAACUUAUAGCUAAACUGCAAGUAAAUCUGUACUCUGACUCCCUAUGCUGGAAGAAUAUUUAGUUGAUUAACUUUUCUAUUGCCACACUCUGCUUCCCUGUUACAACUAGGACUGUCAGUGGUAUCAAUAUUAAAUGAAGUUGCUCUGAAGUUGAAGUUUUUUGUUUGUUCGUUUUUUAAAAAGGAGGAACAUGUUUUUAGGCUGAAAAAAAGUAUGCACACAUAUGUACAGCUACGUUAAUUUUCAGAAAUACAGCGCUUUGUACAGGGCUCUGCCUACUCUCCCAAAUCUACAUCUGCUGACUGAGUAGGCACUCAUUUGGUUACAAGGCUUUUGAAACAAUCCUUAUGUUCAUGUAGCAAAGAACAAGCAUCCACUGCCAGAACCAUUGCCUGGGAACCUUCCGGUAGGAGAUUCAAAUAGAGUUGUAGAAGCAGUCUUUUUAAUGUAUAGUUUGCGUGCCAGGCAAAACUGUUGUGCUGGCAAAUUAACAGGUAUGUCUACAGAUAUGGGAAGAAAGCAUAUUUCCAAUUAAAUGAGAUGAUCUGUCCUAUUUUGUGGUUGUUUUUUUUUUUUGCAUGCAAAGAUGUCCCACGUGAUCCAACAAAAAUGAAAACAAAAGUACUGAAAAUAAAAGUACUUUAGUAGUUAUAUUUUAAGUAUCAAACAGGUAAGGGAUCUAUUCUUCUUCGUAGGAGAUGCCUGUUUUACAGUCUAGAAGAUCAACUUACGCAGCUAAGAUGCAUUUUCACAAGCUUCUCUCAGUACACACCAUGAGGUGGUAUUUCAUGCAGUGUGAGAAAGAUCCUCAAGGAUUCAGCCAACUCACCUGCUGUCCAUUUCACUCAGACACAUCCUCACACUAAGUAAGCUAAAAAAAACUUGUUUCUGUUUGACAGAUGUUUGUGUGAGCAGUGCUCUGCAAACUGAAUACGCAAAAUUCACCAAACUUAGAAAUAUAAAGUUGAACUUCAAGCACUAGCACCAAAGUGAAACUCUCUACAACUGUUCUAAUAUUAUUUUAUAACAUCAAGAAAGGCUCUUACUUCAUGCAACAGAUCUUUGUUUCUAACCACAUUGGGUAGCCUGUUUUAGUUCAGUUUAUGGGCACAUCCUGUACACUCUUGCACAGUUGAGUAAUCUCAUUCAAUUCCAAAGGCUUAUUUAUGAGCCUAAAGAUGACUUACAGUAAUAAAGAGCUACACCCUUGUCGUUCCAGCACUCACCUGCUCACUGCCAACGUUAUCAUAAUAUAAACAAUGAAAAAAAAAGUAAUCAAACUAUUUUCAACCAUGUCUGAGCAAAGCACAGCUAUGCAGAGAAGUACAAACAAGGAUCCUAUUGCAGCUUCCAAUUCCUGCACCAGUUCAAGCCAAAAAUGAAAUUUUACCUACAAUUUCUAGGAGAAUUAAAAGUUCUUUUCAGUAUGGAUCUAAGGCAGAAGCAUCUGCCGUCAUUUCUUACAUGGGAAUGAAUCACAUGCUUUUUCAAUACAUUGCCAGUAUUUCUUUCUUAUAUCAGGACAAAAUUCACAAAGCAAACCAUUUCAUCUAGCAUGCUGCUUUGCAAGAUAAAUGCAAAUCCAAGAUAUUUCAGAUUAGCAAGACUUUUUUCUUUUGAUAAAACCUUGCUUAUAUGGGUUGUUUUCUCCCUUGUAGCUGCUGACGCUAUCAUUUUUAUUUUAACCUGUAAUAUACCUCCAUAUCUCCUUCUUUCUUACUCUUCAUGGAAAAAAAGCCCUCUCAUAUCCCAUUUCCCAUUCCAUUUACUUCUUGUUUCUCCCAGUGAGAGGCUGUGCUCCAGCUAAGGGAAAGUUAACAUCCUGGAGUGGGGCCAUCACACAAGGAAAUGGAUCUUUCACCGCCUGCCACAAGCUAUCAGGAUUCCCCCUACACAGAGGCAAUUCAAGCAGAAACGUUUGCCAAUGUAAAUUCACUUGAAUUGUAUGAACAGAGAAGGACCAGAGAGAAUUAGGUCUGGAGAGGCUGCUUCCGUGAUAAAGCUGAGCUAAUAAACAAGUUAACAAAACACCCUGACUUCAAAUGUUGAGAGCUUCAAAGAAGGGUCAAGUAACAAAAAACUUGUGAUAUUUCUGACAAAAUUGUUACUUUGCAUCAAUCAACUGAAUAUUUUUAUUUAGGCUUCACAGACUACAAAGAAAUAAAGCCUUUUAAGGAAAGAAAGGGCAAAGGCUUUGCAUAGAACUUCACUGCUUACCCCUGUCAGUGCAAUGUGCAUGCCAGAGCCAGACCAAAAAUGUCCUUCUCCUGAUUUGUAGCACCUGCUAACGUCUCCUAACUGAUGUCAGCUUGCAGCAGAGAGACGCUGUUUCACAUUAUCUAGCAAAGUGAGGAACUGAGAAAAGCAAGGAGAGACUUCCUUUGAUUUCAAACAUCUGUGAUGUAUUUAUUUACCUAUUUAUGUUGGAAUUUUAUCUAGAAGCUUUGGGUUUAUCAGAUCUGUACUUUCAAAGUAUGAUCCAUGCCACACAAAUGUAAAUAUUUUGGGCUGAUGAGAAAAUGGUUUUGAAGUACAUCAGCUCUGUUCAUUUUUCCUUAUUUUUGGACAACAGUGUUAAAUGAAAUCACCAAAUCACAGAUGCAUGCACAAUGCUCCUAAAGAUUCAACAAUUUAAGGUGGAUGCUGUCAACAAUUGUUAUAUAAAGCUUUGUAUCUUUAAAGAAGAAUACUCAGAGUGAAGUAUAGAAUCACAGAAUCAUGUUUCAUAGAGAUGUUUCAUUUUAUGUAAAAGCUCAUAAAUGAAAUGCAUACAGAUCAGAAUAAUGUAGUUCAUUUUGCCGGUUACAUCAUAACUAGAAGAUUCUUGCACAAUUUACAAAAGAAUACAAUCAAUAGAGCCAAAAAAAGUGCUUUUUUGUUGCGCGAUAAGUCAAGCUUCUGCACUUCUGCUCUGGAUUCAGCUAAAAUAGAGUUAACUUUCUUCCUGGUAGCUGAUAUUGUACUUCAUUUUGGAUUUAGUAUGAAAAAAGCAUUGUUAAUACAUCAGUGUUUUAGUUGUUGCCGAGCACUGCUGCACAAAAUCAAGGAUGUUUCAGCUUCUCAUACUGCUCUGCCAGCAAAGAGUCUGGGGAUGCACAAAGAGCUGGGAGGGGACAGAACUGGGACAGCUGACCCUAACUGGCCAAAGGAAUGUUCCAUACCAUUUCACAUCAUGUUGCACAAUAAAAGUGGAGAUGUUGACCAGAGGGACAGAUGCUACAGCUGCAUUGUGCAACACUUGUUUUGUCUGUUUUACCACAGUUUUCCUUCCUAUUAAACUGUCUUUAUCUCAAGUCACGAGUUUUUCUUCCCACCCUGUGCCACUAUCUCCACUUCUCUUCCCUGUGCCUGUGUUAAGCUGCCUGUGAGGCUAAACCACAGCAGCUUCGUCUGUUACUCAGGUCUUGUAGCUAUAGCUGCUGCAUAGAUUAAGACAUGAUGCACUGAACAAGCUGAAAA
ensembl:lncRNA